GACAAAAAACAGGACAAAAAACAGGACCAAAAGUAUGACCAAGAUCAAGAUAGAAAAAUGUUAACAAUGGGUAACAUGCGAGAUACAAGUAAAUUUUAUAAAAGAAAACAUUCGGAUACUCACCAUGGUAGUAGUACCAGUAGCAAUAACAGCAGAAGUAACAGCAGAAGUAACAGCAGAAGUAACAGUAGAAGUAACAGUAGAAGUAACAGUCGUAGUAACAGUCGUAGUAACAGUCGUAGUAACAGUCGUAGUAACAGCCGUAGUAACAAUAACAGGAGAAGAACUAACAGAAAUAGCAAAUCUGUAAAUAUAUCUAAUGUUGUAUUUACAUCUAAUGGAAAAAAAACAGUCAUAGAGGAAAUUAUUUCACUGAAUCAAAUAGUAAAUAUAAAGGAAAUCAAAAUGUACAAAUAUAUGCAGCUACAAAAUGUUAUAAUUAUUUAUUACAAAAUUUUACAAAAAUAGAAUUAUUAACUAAUUUGUGUUGCUAUAUAAUUGGUACAUUUGGUUAUUUAAUUAAAAAUAAAGUAUCGAUGAAAGAACAAUUAAAAGUUAUGGAAAAAUAUUUUUAUAUUGUUUCAACAAAUACGAAAUAUGUGAUUUUAAUGGCUAUGGUAAAAAUGGUUUAUUAUGAUCAUAAAAUUAUAAAUAAUGUAAAAAAAAUAUUAAACGAUUGUAUAAAUCAUUCAGAUUUGGAAUUACAAACAAGAGCAUGUGAAUUUUUGAAUUUAUUUAAUAUGAACAGUACAAACAUGUUAAACUUUUUUAUUCAAAAUAUGCCUUUAUACAAUAACAGAAAAGUUCAUGACAAUUUUCUAAUUAAGCGUUUGCUUGAAAAAAAUAAGUAAGUUGGUCACCCACCCGUCCGUACUUGUUUCUGUACAUACAUACAAUGUUUUUUUACAUGUUUAUUACUUUGGAUCGUUACUUGAAUCGUUUAUCACAUCUGUAUGCACGCACACCGCCUCAUGUCUUACUAUUCUUUUUACUUCUGUUUACGCUUAUAUAUAUAUAUAUAUAUAUAUNNNNNNNNNNNNNNNNNNNNNNNNNNNNNNNNNNNNNNNNNNNNNNNNNNNNNNNNNNNNNNNNNNNNNNNNNNNNNNNNNNNNNNNNNNNNNNNNNNNNUUUUUUUACUAUUACUUUUUAUUACUAUUACCUUUUCCCUUUUUUUUACAGACACACUAUUAUCGAGUUUAACGGAAAUUGCAACUUAUUAGAAAAUGAGAAAAGCGAAGAACAUUAUUAUGGGAUACAAAACAGUAAUGGCAUACAUAAAGACGACAAGUACAACAAUGAAAGUGUUAAUAACGAUUUUGACUAUAAUAAAUCAUCGACAUCUCUUAAAUUAGCAGAAAACGACUAUAAUAUGAAAAAAAGGGGACGUAGUAAAUCUGUUAAAAGUUUUACUGAUUUAAAAAAAAAAUCUACAUUUUACAAUGGAUCCGGUUUAUCUAAUACAUCACUAGUUUCUAGUUCUCCAUCUAGUGGUGAUCCUAGGAUAUCUGAUGAUGUUGACAAACAUAGUGAUUCUAAUAAAAAAAAAAUAAAUAGAUUAUUAUGUUUAAAAAAACCAAACAAUUUAAAUCAAUUAUGGUUCAACUCAUGUUUAUUAGAUAAAUCUCUACUAUUUAAAAACAGUAUUAUAUCAGUUGUAGUCAAACAAAAGUACAAAGAAAACAAAAUAUUUAUUACAUUUUUUGUAAAAAAUAUUACCAAAGACGUGAUCAAUAUUACAAGUAUUAAUAUUGAAGAUUGUGAACACCUGAAUAUAAGAGAACAAAAAAGUUUUAACCCUGAGCAUUUAGAAAGUGGAUGUAUAUACGUGCAUAAAAUUAUCGUUAUUGUAUCUGACAUUUUUUUUAAUAUUCCUAGCGUUUUUUUCAAUAUUACUACACCUAUUUCAGCGCCAUCAAGUUUCUGUACAAAACUACCAAUACUAAUUACCAGAUUUGUCAAAGAAUAUAAAAUUAAUGAAUCAAAUUUUAAAGUUUAUUGGAAUGCUCUCAUUGCUGCUCAUAACGAAGAUAAACUGAUAGGACCACCAGCAUUUUCGAAAAAAAUAUUUUGUAAUUAUUUAACACACGCUUUUAAUUUUUAUAUAUUGAAGGUAAAGUUAAAUAUUCCGCAUAAUUAGGGACGCAUAAUUAAGGGCAUUUAAUUUUUUGCGUUAAAUUCGGAAUGUUCAUUUUUG
ensembl:lncRNA